rnacentral:rRNA from 1 species
UCGAGCGAAUGGAUUAAGAGCUUGCUCUUAUGAAGUUAGCGGCGGACGGGUGAGUAACACGUGGGUAACCUGCCCAUAAGACUGGGAUAACUCCGGGAAACCGGGGCUAAUACCGGAUAACAUUUUGAACCGCAUGGUUCGAAAUUGAAAGGCGGCUUCGGCUGUCACUUAUGGAUGGACCCGCGUCGCAUUAGCUAGUUGGUGAGGUAACGGCUCACCAAGGCAACGAUGCGUAGCCGACCUGAGAGGGUGAUCGGCCACACUGGGACUGAGACACGGCCCAGACUCCUACGGGAGGCAGCAGUAGGGAAUCUUCCGCAAUGGACGAAAGUCUGACGGAGCAACGCCGCGUGAGUGAUGAAGGCUUUCGGGUCGUAAAACUCUGUUGUUAGGGAAGAACAAGUGCUAGUUGAAUAAGCUGGCACCUUGACGGUACCUAACCAGAAAGCCACGGCUAACUACGUGCCAGCAGCCGCGGUAAUACGUAGGUGGCAAGCGUUAUCCGGAAUUAUUGGGCGUAAAGCGCGCGCAGGUGGUUUCUUAAGUCUGAUGUGAAAGCCCACGGCUCAACCGUGGAGGGUCAUUGGAAACUGGGAGACUUGAGUGCAGAAGAGGAAAGUGGAAUUCCAUGUGUAGCGGUGAAAUGCGUAGAGAUAUGGAGGAACACCAGUGGCGAAAGCGACUUUCUGGUCUGUAACUGACACUGAGGCGCGAAAGCGUGGGGAGCAAACAGGAUUAGAUACCC